UGGCUCAGAACGAACGCUGGCGCCAGGCUUAACACAUGCAAGUCGAGCGCCUCGCAAGAGGAGCGGCAGACGGGUGAGUAACACGUGGGAACGUGCCCAAAGGUACGGAACAACUCCGGGAAACUGGAGCUAAUACCGUAUGUGCCCGAAAGGGGAAAGAUUUAUCGCCUUUGGAUCGGCCCGCGUCUGAUUAGCUAGUGGGUAGGGUAAUGGCCUACCAAGGCGACGAUCAGUAGCUGGUCUGAGAGGAUGACCAGCCACAUUGGGACUGAGACACGGCCCAGACUCCUACGGGAGGCAGCAGUGGG
rnacentral:rRNA from 1 species